UGACCUCCACCAUGGCCUGGUGCCCUCUCCUCUUCAUCCUCCUAGCUCACUGCACAGGUUCCUGGGCCCAGACUGUGCUGACUCAGCCUCCCUCAGUGUCUAGGUCUCCAGGAGAGACAGUCACCAUCUCCUGCUCUGGAAACAGCAACAAUCUUGGGAGACAUUAUGUCCAUUGGUUCCAGCAGCUCUCCGGAACUGCUCCUAAACUUAUUAUCUAUAACAAUAUCGAUCGACCAUCCGGGGUCUCUGCUCGGUUCUCUGGCUCCAAGUCUGGCAGCUCAGCCUCCCUGACCAUCAGUGGGCUCCAAUCUGAGGACGAGGCUGAUUAUUACUGCCAGUCUUAUGAUAGCAGCCUCAGUGAUUGGACUGCAGCCACCUACAGCCACUUGCUUGUGUCUUGGUCUCAGGGUGUGGAAAAGAAAAAGAACAGUUUCUCAUACAGGGGAGUAGAGAAGUAUCCACCAAAUCUGUGA